rnacentral:rRNA from 1 species
UACGAAGGGGGCUAGCGUUGCUCGGAAUUACUGGGCGUAAAGGGUUCGUAGGCGGUGUGGCAAGUCGGAAGUGAAAUCUCCAGGCUUAACUUGGAGGCUGCUCCCGAAACUGCCAUGCUAGAGUGCGGGAGAGGCGAGUGGAAUUGCAGGUGUAGCGGUGAAAUGCGUAGAUAUCUGCAGGAACACCCGUGGCGAAGGCGGCUCGCUGGACCGCAACUGACGCUGAGGAACGAAAGCUAGGGGAGCAAACAGG